ACACACCCAGGAGCUCCAGCCUGUUAUGGGAUGGGCAUCCUACCAGGAACCAAGGAUGCUAAGAUGUCCUCCAAAAUGGAUUGCCUCAUAUCUAGUACCCGCCUGCUGCAGGCUUCUUCAUCUAGUUCCUCUGGGGGCACAUUGUGCAGCUAAUUCAUCCAGGCAGAUUCACUGGGAAGCUGUUGCUCAUGAGGGUGUAAUGGAGAAUCUCCAGGUGGAGAAAUGAUCCUGAAUUAUCCAGUGGGCCCUACAUGUCACCACAUUGCGAUCCUUCUAAGUAGGAAGCAGAAGAUCUGACACAUGCAGGAGAGGGGAAGGCAAUGUGACCAUGGAGGCAGAGAGGAGAGUGAUGUGGCCACAAGCCAAGGAUUGUCGGCAGCUGCCAGUGGCUGAAGGGGCAAUGAACGGAUUCUCCUUUGGAGCCUCUGGAGGGAGAAUGGCCCUGCUAACACCUGAUUUUGGCCCAGUGAUACUGAUUUUGGACUUCUGCCCUCUAGAACUGUGAGGGAAUACUUUUCUGUUGCUUUAAGCCAUUUAAUUUAUGAUGAUUUGUUACAGCACCCACAGGAAACUAAUGCAUGGGUCUAACUUGAACCUAGUGAGUUAGAUUACUUCAGGGAAACACAGUAAAUUGUUAACAGGGCUUGUCAGGGGGGUGGGAGUGAGAUGAAAGUGUGAAG
rnacentral:antisense_RNA from 1 species